rnacentral:rRNA from 1 species
AACGAACGCUGGCGGCAUGCCUAACACAUGCAAGUCGAACGAGACCUUCGGGUCUAGUGGCGCACGGGUGCGUAACGCGUGGGAACCUGCCCUUAGGUUCGGAAUAACUCCCCGAAAGAGGUGCUAAUACCGGUUAAUGUCUUCGGACCAAAGAUUUAGCGCCUUUGGCUGGGGCCGCGUUGGAUUAGCUAGUUGGUAGGGUAGGAGCCUACCAAGGCGGAGAUGGGUAGCUGGUCUGAGAGGAUGAUCGGCGACACUGGGACUGAGACACGGCCCAGACUCCUACGGGAGGCAGAAGUGGGGAAUAGUGCACAAUGGGCGGAAGCCUGAGGCAGCAACGCCGCGUGCGGGAGGACGGGAUUCGGGUUGUAAACCGCUUUCGCCUGUGACGAAGCGUGAGUGACGGUAAUGGGUAAAGAAGCACCGGCUAACUACGUG